GGACUACGGGGGUAUCUAAUCCCGUUUGCUACCCUAGCUUUCGUCCCUCACCGUCGGACUCGUUCUAGUCAAGUGCCUUUGCCAUUGGUAGUCUACCUAGGAUUAAAGGAUUUUACCCCUCCCCUAGGCAUACUCUUGACCUCUCCCGAUCCCUAGAUUACCAGUAUUCAGGGCCAUUCGUUAGGUUAAGCCUAACAAUUUCACCGAGAACUUAAUAAUCCGGCUACGGACGCUUUAGACCCAAUAAAUAUGGUCACCACUCGGGGCUCCGGUAUUACCGCGGCUGCUGGCACCGAUAUUGCCCACCCCUUUCUUGAAAAAUAUUUUACAUUUCUCCACAGAUAUAACCAUAAGCUAUAUCACUUAGGAUCCCCUUAUCACGCUUUCGCGCAUUGUAAAGUUCUCGCGACUGCUGCCCCCCAUAGG
rnacentral:rRNA from 1 species